GGGGGGGGGGGGGGGGGUGGGGGGGGGGGGGGGGGGGGGGGGGGGGGCGAGAAGCGUGCUUCGCUGGUGUUGGCGGCGGACGGGGGGGUAAGCCGUGGAUAACCUAGCUAUAAGCCUGGGGUGAGUUCGGGGAACCGUAGCUAAUACCGGAUAAUAUUUUGAACCGCAUGGUUCUAACGUGGACGACGGGAUUGCUGUCACUUCUAGAUUGAUCCGCGCGGCCUUCGCUUGUUGGUAAGGUAACGGCUUACCAAGGCAACGAUACAUAGCCGCCCUGCGCGGGUGAUCGGCCACCCUGGAACGGAGACACGCUCCAGACUCCUACGGGAGGCAGCAGUAGGGACGCUUCCGCAAUGGGCGAAAGCCUGACGGAGCAACGCCGCGUGAGUGAUGAAGGUCUUCGGAUCGUAAAACUCUGUUAUUAGGGAAGAACAUAUGUGUAAGUAACUGUGCACAUCUUGACGGUACCUAAUCAGAAAGCCACGGCUAACUACGUG
rnacentral:rRNA from 1 species